GGUGCGAACAUCUACAACUAGAAGGUCCUCAAUGCCUUCCCGAACCCUUGGCUGACCUCCACCCUCGCCUUCGCUGCCGGUUCCCUCAUAAUGCUCCUCUCCUGGGCCGCGAAGGUCGCCGAGGCGCCCAAGACCGACUUGGAGUUCUGGAAAUCCCUCGCUCCGCUGAGAAAAACUAGUGUUCUAGAAGGUCUUUAGGGUUUAACCAAAUCACCCACCUUCUUCCAUGGAUUCUGACGAUGGAAGCUUUGAUAUAGACUGUAGGUGGCGGUGGCGCACACCAUUGGACAUGUGGCGGCCACGGUUAGCAUGUCGAAGGUGGCAGCGUCCUUCACCCACAUAAUCAAGAGCGGGGAGCCGGCAUUCAGCGUGCUGGUGUCGAGGUUUCCUGUUUCAGUUUAUCUGUCGCUGGUGCCGAUCAUCGGAGGUUGCGCUUUGGCAGCAGUGACAUAGCUGAAUUUUGAUAUGACGGGUGUUUUGGGUGCAAUGAUAUCAAACCUUGCAUUUGUGUUUCGGAAUAUUUUCUCUAAGAGAGAAAUUAAUGGGAAGUCUGUUAGUGGGAUGAACUACUAUGCCUGCCUGUCUAUGCUAUCUCUGCUGAUACUUACACCAUUUGUGAUCGCGGUGGAAGGUCCACAGAUGUGGGCAGCUGAUUGGCAGAAGGCGAUCUCACGGAUCAGUCCCCAUUUUGUCUGCUAAUUUGUUUACUCUCUCGUAUAUAUAUGUUAGCGAUUUCAUUAAUUCGGAUACAAUUGUCGCUAUUUGGAAUUUAUUGUUUUGUUGUUGUGUUGGAGAAGUAGAGCAGAGUCAGUUGAUUCGCUUAACCCUUUAAAUUUCUAUGACCUCAUACGAUAAUGUACUUGACAAAUAUUUUUAUACCGUGAAAAAACAUGAAAAAUCUUGAGAAAACAAUGUUCCACUUGGUUUAGAUCAUCUUCUCUGAUCAGUGAAUAGCUAAAAUAAUUGUGCAUUUGCUUGUCAGACAUUUUAGAAUGAUGAAAUUGUAGCUAACGCAGUCGGCUUAUGUGACUCGUAUCUGAUCAGGUGGGUGACGGCACAAGGUGUGAUCUACCACUUGUAUACCCAAGUUUCCUACAUGUCAUUGGAUGAAAUGUCUCCAUUGGCAUUCAGCAUUGGUAACACCAUGAAGCGGAUCUCUGUUAUCGUCUCUUCCAUCAUAAUCUUCCAUACACCGGUCCAACCCAUCAAUGCCCUUGGAGCUGCAAUUGCCAUUCUUGGAACUUUUUUAUAUUCCCAGGCCAAGCAGAGGCUCUUGCACCUGUAUCAGUUCCGAUCCUAAUGAAGCUCCAAUGUAGGUUGCCUAGUGCUAUUACGGAUGGGAGACGAAUCUUGCCCGAGCCUAGAAAGAGGAGCAACAUCUCAGAACUGUAAUCGAUAGCGGAAACUAUCUAGUUCCUACACAGUACUGCUGAUCCAGGUUGUACGAGAUCAUUGUUCUCGAUCGGAGAUUAGAGGACUCUGCUAAAUAAGAUGCUCAUAAUGUAUCAACCUGUCCAAAGAAUUUUGAGCUAUUAUGAAGGACGGCGUUUCUUACAUGAAUAGUUUCUCUCACUAUAAUUUUCGCAUAUCAAUCGAGGACUGUCUAUUUCUUCGGGAGUAGCCCAUGUAAUUGUAUGAUUGUUGAACAGAUUCAGGGAGAUGGUCCAUCAGCUUGAGAUCUCUGCCGUUCUUCUUGUCCUCAUAUUUGUUGUUCAUGUUACUGCCUGAAUUCAUAUCCCCAGUGAUGCACUAUGUUUUGGAUCUUUGCUGUUGGCUGUUGCAUCUGCGAUUUCCGUCUCAAGGCAUUU